AUACGGAGGGAGCGAGCGUUAAUCGGAAUUACUGGGCGUAAAGCGCGCGUAGGCGGCUUUGUAAGUCGGAUGUGAAAGCCCAGGGCUUAACCCUGGAAUUGCAUUCGAUACUGCAGAGCUAGAGUAUGGUAGAGGGAAGUGGAAUUUCCGGUGUAGCGGUGAAAUGCGUAGAUAUCGGAAGGAACACCAGUGGCGAAGGCGACUUCCUGGGCCAAUACUGACGCUAAGGUGCGAAAGCGUGGGGAGCAAACAGGAUUAGAAACCCCGGUAGUCC
rnacentral:rRNA from 1 species